UAAUACCGCAUAUUCUGUGAGCAGGAAUGCAGGGGACCGCAAGGCCUUGCGCUCUUUGAGCGGCCGAUGUCAGAUUAGCUAGUUGGUGAGGUAAAGGCUUACCAAGGCGACGAUCUGUAGCGGGUCUGAGAGGAUGAUCCGCCACACUGGAACUGAGACACGGUCCAGACUCCUACGGGAGGCAGCAGUGGGGAAUUUUGGACAAUGGGGGCAACCCUGAUCCAGCCAUGCCGCGUGAGUGAAGAAGGCCUUCGGGUUGUAAAGCUCUUUCGGCCGGGAAGAAAUCGCAUGGGCCAAUACCCUGUGUGGAUGACGGUACCGGAAUAAGAAGCACCGGCUAACUACGUGCCAGCAGCCGCGGUAAUACGUAGGGUGCGAGCGUUAAUCGGAAUUACUGGGCGUAAAGCGUGCGCAGGCGGUUUUGUAAGACAGGCGUGAAAUCCCCGGGCUUAACCUGGGAACUGCGUUUGUGACUGCAAGGCUAGAGUACGGCAGAGGGGGGUGGAAUUCCACGUGUAGCAGUGAAAUGCGUAGAGAUGUGGAGGAACACCAAUGGCGAAGGCAGCCCCCUGGGUCGAUACUGACGCUCAUGCACGAAAGCGUGGGUAGCAAACAGGAUUAGAUACCCUGGUAGUCCACGCCCUAAACUAUGUCAACUAGGUGUUGGGUGGGUAAAACCAUUUAGUACCGUAGCUAACGCGUGAAGUUGACCGCCUGGGGAGUACGGCCGCAAGGUUAAAACUCAAAGGAAUUGACGGGGACCCGCACAAGCGGUGGAUGAUGUGGAUUAAUUCGAUGCAACGCGAAAAACCUUACCUACCCUUGACAUGCCAGGAACUUGCCAGAGAUGGCUUGGUGCCCGAAAGGGAGCCUGGACACAGGUCUGCAUGGCUGUCGUCAGCUCGUGUCGUGAGAUGUUGGGUUAAGUCCCGCAACGAGCGCAACCCUUGUCGUUAAUUGCCAUCAUUUAGUUGGGCACUUUAACGAGACUGCCGGUGACAAACCGGAGGAAGGUGGGGAUGACGUCAAGUCCUCAUGGCCCUUAUGGGUAGGGCUUCACACGUCAUACAAUGGUCGGUACAAAGGGUUGCCAAGCCGCGAGGCGGAGCCAAUCCCAGAAAGCCGAUCGUAGUCCGGAUUGCAGGCUGCAACUCGCCUGCAUGAAGUCGGAAUCGCUAGUAAUCGUGGAUCAGCAUGUCACGGUGAAUACGUUCCCGGGUCUUGUACACACCGCCCGUCACACCAUGGGAGCGGGUUCCGCCAGAAGUAGGUAGCCUAACCGCAAGGGGGGCGCUUACCACGGCGGGGUUCGUGACUGGGGUGAAGUCGUAACAAGGUA
rnacentral:rRNA from 1 species